rnacentral:rRNA from 1 species
UACAGAGGUCCCAAGCGUUGUUCGGAUUCACUGGGCGUAAAGGGUGCGCAGGUGGGUUUGCAAGUUCGAUGUGAAAGCCCCGGGCUUAACCCGGGAAUGGCAUUGGAUACUGCAGAUCUGGAGGAUCGGAGGGGAGACUGGAAUUCCUGGUGUAGCAGUGAAAUGCGUAGAUAUCAGGAGGAAUACCGAUGGCGAAGGCAGGUCUCUGGGCUGACACUGACGCUCAUGCACGAAAGCGUGGGGAGCAAACAGG